GAUGAACGCUGACAGAAUGCUUAACACAUGCAAGUCAACUUGAAUUUGGGUUUUUACCUUAGGUUUGGGUGGCGGACGGGUGAGUAACGCGUAAAGAACUUGCCUCACAGCUAGGGACAACAUUUGGAAACGAAUGCUAAUACCUAAUAUUAUGAUAAUAGGGCAUCCUAUAAUUAUGAAAGCUAUAAGCGCUGUGAGAGAGCUUUGCGUCCCAUUAGCUAGUUGGAGAGGUAACGGCUCACCAAGGCGAUGAUGGGUAGCCGGCCUGAGAGGGUGAUCGGCCACAAGGGGACUGAGACACGGCCCUUACUCCUACGGGAGGCAGCAGUGGGGAAUAUUGGACAAUGGACCAAGAGUCUGAUCCAGCAAUUCUGUGUGCACGAUGAAGUUUUUCGGAAUGUAAAGUGCUUUCAGUUGGGAAGAAAGAAAUGACGGUGCCAACAGAAGAAGUGACGGCUAAAUACGUG
rnacentral:rRNA from 1 species